rnacentral:tRNA from 1 species
CGGCCCGUAGCUCAACUGGUAGAGCACGUGACUCUUAAUCAUGGGGUCGAGGGUUCGAGUCCCUCCGGGCCGACAA